rnacentral:tRNA from 1 species
GCCUGGGUGGCUCAGUCAGUUAAGCAUCUGACUCUUCAGCUUGGGUCAUGAUCUCAUGGUUCGUGGGUUCGAGCCCCACACCAGGCU